rnacentral:rRNA from 1 species
GACGAACGCUGGCGGCGUGCCUAAUACAUGCGAGUUGAGCGCUGAAGGUUGGUACUUGUACCAACUGGAUGAGCAGCGCACGGGUGAGUAACGCGUGGGGAAUCUGCCUUUGAGCGGGGGACAACAUUUGGAAACGAAUGCUAAUACCGCAUAAAAACUUUAAACACAAGUUUUAAGUUUGAAAGAUGCAAUUGCAUCACUCAAAGAUGAUCCCGCGUUGUAUUAGCUAGUUGGUGAGGUAAAGGCUCACCAAGGCGAUGAUACAUAGCCGACCUGAGAGGGUGAUCGGCCACAUUGGGACUGAGACACGGCCCAAACUCCUACGGGAGGCAGCAGUAGGGAAUCUUCGGCAAUGGACGAAAGUCUGACCGAGCAACGCCGCGUGAGUGAAGAAGGUUGUCGGAUCGUAAAACUCUGUUGGUAGAGAAGAACGUUGGUGAGAGUGGAAAGCUCAUCAAGUGACGGUAACUACCCAGAAAGGGACGGCUAACUACGUG